GGAGAGAUGGCUCAGUGGUUAAGAGCACUGGCUGCUCUUCCAGAGGACCCGGGUUCAAUUCCCAGCACCCCA
rnacentral:tRNA from 1 species